rnacentral:rRNA from 1 species
UACGAAGGGGGCUAGCGUUGCUCGGAAUCACUGGGCGUAAAGAGCUCGUAGGCGGCUUGUCACGUCGGAUGUGAAAACCCGGGGCUCAACCCCGGGCCUGCAUUCGAUACGGGCAGGCUAGAGUUCGGCAGGGGAGACUGGAAUUCCUGGUGUAGCGGUGAAAUGCGCAGAUAUCAGGAGGAACACCGGUGGCGAAGGCGGGUCUCUGGGCCGAUACUGACGCUGAGGAGCGAAAGCGUGGGGAGCGAACAGG